AGAGUUUGAUCCUGGCUCAGAUUGAACGCUGGCGGCAGGCUUAACACAUGCAAGUCGAGCGGAAACGAUGAUAGCUUGCUAUCAGGCGUCGAGCGGCGGACGGGUGAGUAAUACUUAGGAAUCUACCUAGUAGUGGGGGAUAGCACGGGGAAACUCGUAUUAAUACCGCAUACGACCUACGGGAGAAAGGGGGCAGUUUACUGCUCUCGCUAUUAGAUGAGCCUAAGUCGGAUUAGCUAGAUGGUGGGGUAAAGGCCUACCAUGGCGACGAUCUGUAGCUGGUCUGAGAGGAUGAUCAGCCACACCGGGACUGAGACACGGCCCGGACUCCUACGGGAGGCAGCAGUGGGGAAUAUUGGACAAUGGGGGAAACCCUGAUCCAGCCAUGCCGCGUGUGUGAAGAAGGCCUUUUGGUUGUAAAGCACUUUAAGCAGUGAAGAAGACUCCGUGGUUAAUACCCACGGACGAUGACAUUAGCUGCAGAAUAAGCACCGGCUAACUCUGUGCCAGCAGCCGCGGUAAUACAGAGGGUGCAAGCGUUAAUCGGAAUUACUGGGCGUAAAGGGAGCGUAGGUGGCUCUAUAAGUCAGAUGUGAAAUCCCCGGGCUCAACCUGGGAACUGCAUCUGAAACUGUAGAGCUAGAGUAUGUGAGAGGAAGGUAGAAUUCCAGGUGUAGCGGUGAAAUGCGUAGAGAUCUGGAGGAAUACCGAUGGCGAAGGCAGCCUUCUGGCAUAAUACUGACACUGAGGCUCGAAAGCGUGGGUAGCAAACAGGAUUAGAUACCCUGGUAGUCCACGCCGUAAACGAUGUCUACUAGUCGUUGGGUCCCUUGAGGACUUAGUGACGCAGCUAACGCAAUAAGUAGACCGCCUGGGGAGUACGGCCGCAAGGUUAAAACUCAAAUGAAUUGACGGGGGCCCGCACAAGCGGUGGAGCAUGUGGUUUAAUUCGAUGCAACGCGAAGAACCUUACCUGGUCUUGACAUAUCUAGAAUCCUGCAGAGAUGCGGGAGUGCCUUCGGGAAUUAGAAUACAGGUGCUGCAUGGCUGUCGUCAGCUCGUGUCGUGAGAUGUUGGGUUAAGUCCCGCAACGAGCGCAACCCUUGUCCUUAGUUACCAGCGGGUUAAGCCGGGAACUCUAAGGAUACUGCCAGUGACAAACUGGAGGAAGGCGGGGACGACGUCAAGUCAUCAUGGCCCUUACGUCCAGGGCUACACACGUGCUACAAUGGUAGGUACAGAGGGCAGCUACACAGCGAUGUGAUGCGAAUCUCAAAAAGCCUAUCGUAGUCCAGAUUGGAGUCUGCAACUCGACUCCAUGAAGUAGGAAUCGCUAGUAAUCGCGGAUCAGAAUGCCGCGGUGAAUACGUUCCCGGGCCUUGUACACACCGCCCGUCACACCAUGGGAGUUGAUUGCACCAGAAGUGGAUAGCUUAACCUUCGGGGAGGCGUUCACCACGGUGUGGUUGAUGACUGGGGUGAAGUCGUAACAAGGUAACC
rnacentral:rRNA from 1 species